GCCGUGUCGAUCACGCGAAAUUUGUCACGAUAAAAAGAGCCGUCAACUUAAUUGUAUUCCCAUCGUUUCUCGUUCGCUGUUUUGUAUCGUCAAUAAAUUAUCGUCUUGUGUGUGCCAUAAUUGAUUUUCCCGAUAGAUAUGACGAUAAAGUUACGUGACAGAAGCCCAUUCAAUUUUCGGCAACGAUUUACUAUUCCUGUUCGUACCCAAUUUUAUUAAAUCUUUUCCUUGUUAUCGUCAUAAAGUUCAAGGUAUUUUAUUUCCGGUGUGGGAGGACGAUAUUGCAAAAAAGAAAAUUUUUUACGACAGUUGAACCUGUGACACUCGGAAAACUUUUCCGACACUUCAAUGUAGUUAUGAAACGUUUCGGGGGUUGCGAGUGCGAUGACGUGCAGGAAAAUUUAAUAAUCGUAACAAACUUGAUGUCGAUUUUGUUGGGACAAUGUUGGGCGUUAACGGAGAAAUGGGACGUCGUUCGAGUAGUCAAGUUGGUGGGAAAUGAGAGCUAUUUCCUGCACAAAAUUACGCUGUUCGAAGCAAAUUGUAAUCACGUUUUACAAAUUAUACUUUUGUGUGUAAAUGCAAUUAAAUUCGC